rnacentral:rRNA from 1 species
GGGUUGUGAGGUUAAGCGACUAAGCGUACACGGUGGAUGCCCUGGCAGUCAGAGGCGAUGAAGGACGUGCUAAUCUGCGAAAAGCGUCGGUAAGGUGAUAUGAACCGUUAUAGCCGGCGAUGUCCGAAUGGGGAAACCCAGUGCAAUUCGUUGCACUAUCGUUAACUGAAUACAUAGGUUAACGAGGCGAACCGGGGGAACUGAAACAUCUAAGUACCCCGAGGAAAAGAAAUCAACCGAGAUUCCCCCAGUAGCGGCGAGCGAACGGGGAGCAGCCCAGAGUCUGAAUCAGCUUGUGUGUUAGUGGAACGGUCUGGAAAGUCCGACGGUACAGGGUGAUAGUCCCGUACACCAAAAUGCACAGGCUGUGAACUCGAAGAGUAGGGCGGGACACGUGGUAUCCUGUCUGAAUAUGGGGGGACCAUCCUCCAAGGCUAAAUACUCCUGACUGACCGAUAGUGAACCAGUACCGUGAGGGAAAGGCGAAAAGAACCCCGGCGAGGGGAGUGAAAAAGAACCUGAAACCGUGUACGUACAAGCAGUGGGAGCACCUUCGGGUGUGACUGCGUACCUUUUGUAUAAUGGGUCAGCGACUUAUAUUCUGUAGCAAGGUUAACCGUAUAGGGGAGCCGCAGGGAAACCGAGUCUUAACUGGGCGUUAAGUUGCAGGGUAUAGACCCGAAACCCGGUGAUCUAGCCAUGGGCAGGUUGAAGGUUGGGUAACACUAACUGGAGGACCGAACCGACUAAUGUUGAAAAAUUAGCGGAUGACUUGUGGCUGGGGGUGAAAGGCCAAUCAAACCGGGAGAUAGCUGGUUCUCCCCGAAAGCUAUUUAGGUAGCGCCUCGUGAACUCAUCUUCGGGGGUAGAGCACUGUUUCGGCUAGGGGGUCAUCCCGACUUACCAACCCGAUGCAAACUACGAAUACCGAAGAAUGUUAUCACGGGAGACACACGGCGGGUGCUAACGUCCGUCGUGAAGAGGGAAACAACCCAGACCGCCAGCUAAGGUCCCAAAGUCAUGGUUAAGUGGGAAACGAUGUGGGAAGGCACAGACAGCCAGGAUGUUGGCUUAGAAGCAGCCAUCAUUUAAAGAAAGCGUAAUAGCUCACUGGUCGAGUCGGCCUGCGCGGAAGAUGUAACGGGGCUAAACCAUGCACCGAAGCUGCGGCAGCGACACUAUGUGUUGUUGGGUAGGGGAGCGUUCUGUAAGCCUGCGAAGGUGUGCUGUGAGGCAUGCUGGAGGUAUCAGAAGUGCGAAUGCUGACAUAAGUAACGAUAAAGCGGGUGAAAAGCCCGCUCGCCGGAAGACCAAGGGUUCCUGUCCAACGUUAAUCGGGGCAGGGUGAGUCGACCCCUAAGGCGAGGCCGAAAGGCGUAGUCGAUGGGAAACAGGUUAAUAUUCCUGUACUUGGUGUUACUGCGAAGGGGGGACGGAGAAGGCUAUGUUAGCCGGGCGACGGUUGUCCCGGUUUAAGCAUGUAGGCUGGUUAUCCAGGCAAAUCCGGAUAAUCAAGGCUGAGGUGUGAUGACGAGGCACUACGGUGCUGAAGUAACAAAUGCCCUGCUUCCAGGAAAAGCCUCUAAGCAUCAGGUAACAUCAAAUCGUACCCCAAACCGACACAGGUGGUCAGGUAGAGAAUACCAAGGCGCUUGAGAGAACUCGGGUGAAGGAACUAGGCAAAAUGGUGCCGUAACUUCGGGAGAAGGCACGCUGGUGUGUAGGUGAAGCCCCUGCGGGUGGAGCUGAGACCAGUCGAAGAUACCAGCUGGCUGCAACUGUUUAUUAAAAACACAGCACUGUGCAAACACGAAAGUGGACGUAUACGGUGUGACGCCUGCCCGGUGCCGGAAGGUUAAUUGAUGGGGUUAUCCGUAAGGAGAAGCUCUUGAUCGAAGCCCCGGUAAACGGCGGCCGUAACUAUAACGGUCCUAAGGUAGCGAAAUUCCUUGUCGGGUAAGUUCCGACCUGCACGAAUGGCGUAAUGAUGGCCAGGCUGUCUCCACCCGAGACUCAGUGAAAUUGAACUCGCUGUGAAGAUGCAGUGUACCCGCGGCAAGACGGAAAGACCCCGUGAACCUUUACUAUAGCUUGACACUGAACAUUGAGCCUUGAUGUGUAGGAUAGGUGGGAGGCUUUGAAGCGUGGACGCCAGUCUGCGUGGAGCCAACCUUGAAAUACCACCCUUUAAUGUUUGAUGUUCUAACGUUGGCCCCUUACCGGGGUUGCGGACAGUGUCUGGUGGGUAGUUUGACUGGGGCGGUCUCCUCCCAAAGCGUAACGGAGGAGCACGAAGGUUAGCUAAUCCUGGUCGGACAUCAGGAGGUUAGUGCAAUGGCAUAAGCUAGCUUGACUGCGAGCGUGACGGCGCGAGCAGGUGCGAAAGCAGGUCAUAGUGAUCCGGUGGUUCUGAAUGGAAGGGCCAUCGCUCAACGGAUAAAAGGUACUCCGGGGAUAACAGGCUGAUACCGCCCAAGAGUUCAUAUCGACGGCGGUGUUUGGCACCUCGAUGUCGGCUCAUCACAUCCUGGGGCUGAAGUAGGUCCCAAGGGUAUGGCUGUUCGCCAUUUAAAGUGGUACGCGAGCUGGGUUUAGAACGUCGUGAGACAGUUCGGUCCCUAUCUGCCGUGGGCGCUGGAGAAUUGAGGGGGGCUGCUCCUAGUACGAGAGGACCGGAGUGGACGCAUCACUGGUGUUCGGGUUGUCAUGCCAAUGGCACUGCCCGGUAGCUAAAUGCGGAAGAGAUAAGUGCUGAAAGCAUCUAAGCACGAAACUUGCCCCGAGAUGAGUUCUCCCUGAGACUUUAAGUCUCCUGAAGGAACGUUAAAGACGAUGACGUUGAUAGGCCGGGUGUGUAAGCGCAGCGAUGCGUUGAGCUAACCGGUACUAAUGAACCGUGAGGCUUAACCUUACAACGCCGAAG